rnacentral:rRNA from 1 species
GACGAACGCUGGCGGCGUGCUUAACACAUGCAAGUCGAACGGUGAAGCUCCAGCUUGCUGGAGUGGAUCAGUGGCGAACGGGUGAGUAACACGUGAGCAACCUGCCCCUGACUCUGGAAUAAGCGCUGGAAACGGCGUCUAAUACUGGAUACGAGAAGGGUCCGCAUGGGCACUUUCUGGAAAGUUUUUCGGUUGGGGAUGGGCUCGCGGCCUAUCAGCUUGUUGGUGAGGUAAUGGCUCACCAAGGCGACGACGGGUAGCCGGCCUGAGAGGGCGACCGGCCACACCGGGACUGAGACACGGCCCAGACUCCUACGGGAGGCAGCAGUGGGGAAUAUUGCACAAUGGGCGAAAGCCUGAUGCAGCGACGCCGCGUGAGGGAUGACGGCCUUCGGGUUGUAAACCUCUUUCAGCAGGGAAGAAGCGAAAGUGACGGUACCUGCAGAAGAAGCACCGGCUAACUACGUG